rnacentral:lncRNA from 1 species
AUAUUUUUCACGGUAAGAUACAAAGUGUUGGGGCCAUCUCAAUCUUCGCUGCGUCGAUUACGCUUGUUACAGUUUUCAAGACGCCGCUUUUUUGGUGCAACGUAUUCAUCGGACUAUCAGGAACGCUCUACACAGUACU